AGUUAACGUUGGCGGCGUGCCUAACACAUGCAAGUCGAACGCUUUCCGGGGGCAACCCCGGGAUGAGUGGCGAACGGGUGAGUAACACGUGGGUAAUCUUCCUUCAAGUGGGGAAUAAACUCUCGAAAGGGAGUCUAAUACCGCAUGACUUUCCAGGGCUGAAGUCCUGGAAUUAAAGCCGCAAGGCGCUUGAAGACGAGCCUGCGUCCUAUUAGCUAGUUGGUAGGGUAACGGCCUACCAAGGCGACGAUGGUUAGCUGGUCUGAGAGGAUGAUCAGCCACACUGGAACUGACACACGGUCCAGACUCCUACGGGAGGCUG
rnacentral:rRNA from 1 species